rnacentral:rRNA from 1 species
GUGUCAGCAGCCGCGGUAAUACGUAGGGUGCGAGCGUUAAUCGGAAUUACUGGGCGUAAAGCGUGCGCAGGCGGUUCGUUAAGUUCGUUGUGAAAGCCCCGGGCUCAACCUGGGAACUGCAAUGGAAACUGGCGGGCUUGAGUGUGGCAGAGGGGGGUGGAAUUCCGCGUGUAGCAGUGAAAUGCGUAGAGAUGCGGAGGAACACCGAUGGCGAAGGCAGCCCCCUGGGCCAACACUGACGCUCAGGCACGAAAGCGUGGGGAGCAAACAGGAUUAGAAACCCUCGUAGUCC